rnacentral:rRNA from 1 species
CAGGCCUAACACAUGCAAGUCGAACGGCAGCACAGGGGUAGCAAUACCAUGGGUGGCGAGUGGCGGACGGGUGAGUAAUGCAUCGGGACCUACCUGAACGUGGGGGAUAACGUAGGGAAACUUACGCUAAUACCGCAUACGUCCUACGGGAGAAAGCGGGGGACCUUCGGGCCUCGCGCGGUCAGACGGACCGAUGUUCGAUUAGCUAGUUGGUAAGGUAAUGGCUUACCAAGGCGACGAUCGAUAGCUGGUCUGAGAGGAUGAUCAGCCACACUGGAACUGAGACACGGUCCAGACUCCUACGGGAGGCAGCAGUGGGGAAUAUUGGACAAUGGGCGCAAGCCUGAUCCAGCAAUGCCGCGUGUGUGAAGAAGGCCUUCGGGUUGUAAAGCACUUUUAUCGGGAGCGAAAUACCAUUGGUUAAUAACCGGUGGGGCUGACGGUACCCGAGGAAUAAGCACCGGCUAACUUCGUGCCAGCAGCCGCGGUAAUA